AAUGACAGAGGAGGAGGGGCGGGGCUAAUACCACACCGACCAACUUAAACUGUGCAGCGGAUAUUCUGUAUCAUAGCAACAAAACGUCUCAACGGAAAAACGCUGCGCU